rnacentral:rRNA from 1 species
AUACGGAAGGUCCGGGCGUUAUCCGGCUUUAUUGGGUUUAAAGGGAGCGCAGACGGGCUGUUAAGCGUGACGUGAAAUCCGGGGGCUCAACCUUCGGCUGCGUCGCGAACUGGCGGCCUUGAGUGGACGGGAGGCAGGCGGAAUUCGUGGGGGAUGGGGGAAAUGCUUAGAUAUCACGAAGAACCCCGAUUGCGAAGGCAGCUUGCCGCAGUCUUACUGACGUUCAUGCUCGAAGGUGCGGGUAUCGAACAGGAUUAGAUACCCUGGUAGUCCGCACGGUAAACGAUGGAUGCCCGCUGUUGGCGACACACUGUCAGCGGCCAAGCGAAAGCAUUAAGCAUCCCACCUGGGGAGUACGCCGGCAACGGUGAAACUCAAAUGAAUUGGCGGGG